CGGGGUCAAAGCCAAGUCACGCCAUCACUGCAGAGGGAGUUCUUUGGGCUCAUGGGCCGGAGAAGUUCGGAUGAAUUCUUCGGCCUGAUGGGAAAACGAUCUUCGGAUUCUAAGUCGGCAGCCUGGCGCCUGAAAACGAUGCUAAGCUGCCUCCUGAAGAGCACUUCUCAAGCCACCAACGCUGGGCUUCCCUCCCCGGAGAGAGCUCCACUCCACAAAACGCCGGUCAUGCCGUAGCCAAGAGGUCAAGUUUGCCCGAAUGGGCCAGAGUGCACCGUGAGAGUCCCUUUCUCAUUGAUAAUCUGCACUUUUAAACGCGAGAAAAUGUGUUUUUCUUUUACACGUCAGGUUAACACAACUGUCACGAGGGAUGCACGUGGGUUAUUUUAUUUGCGCCCCCCAAG